GACGAACGCUGGCGGCGCGCCUAACACAUGCAAGUCGAACGGAGCUUAGAGAGCUUGCUUUUUAAGCUUAGUGGCGAACGGGUGAGUAACGCGUGAGUAACCUGCCCUAGAGUGGGGGACAGCAGUUGGAAACGACUGCUAAUACCGCAUAAGCCCACGGUACCGCAUGGCACUGAGGGAAAAGGAUUUAUUCGCUUUAGGAUGGACUCGCGUCCAAUUAGCUAGUUGGUGAGGUAACGGCCCACCAAGGCGACGAUUGGUAGCCGGACUGAGAGGUUGAACGGCCACAUUGGGACUGAGACACGGCCCAGACUCCUACGGGAGGCAGCAGUGGGGGAUAUUGCACAAUGGGGGAAACCCUGAUGCAGCGACGCCGCGUGGAGGAAGAAGGUUUUCGGAUUGUAAACUCCUGUCGUUAGGGACGAUAA
rnacentral:rRNA from 1 species